rnacentral:rRNA from 1 species
CACAGUCGAGUAGUACUAAUCAUCCGAAGCUUUCAAAGCAAAACACAACGUUGUUUGUUCUUCAAAACUUAACUUCUUUCAAUAAUAUGUCAUUUGUUGAUGGUUUUUGGUUAAUUGUUUUUUAGUUGUUUGGAUUCUAAACAACAAAACAACCAUCCAGCUAACCAACUACAAAUAAAAAUCUUCAGGUGCCUAUAUCGGUGGUGUCCACCUCUUCCCAUUCCGAACAGAGAAGUUAAGCCCACCAGAGCCGAUGGUACUGCGGUAACACGUGGGAGAGUAGGUCGGUGCCAGAU